GAAAGGAAGUGUACCACACAGAAGAGCGUACAGGAUAACACCACAACUCCAAACAUCAACCUCAGGACCAGCAUAUAGUCUACCAGAGAUCACCUCAGGAGCAGCAUAAUUGGGGCUUCCACAACUGGUCUUCAGAAAAUGACCGUCGCGCAUGAUGUUGCUCAAGCCAAAAUCAGCAAUUUUAACAUUGCAUUUUGAAUCCAGUAACAAGUUUUCUGGCUUUAGAUCCCGGUGUACCACCAUAUUUCGAUGGCAGUAUUCAACACCAGAUAUUAUCUGCUGAAAAAAUCGGCGGGCCUCAUCCUCCUGCAGUCUACCCUUCUCUACAAUGUAAUCAAAUAGCUCGCCGGACUUGACAUAUUCCAUUACAACAUAAAUAUCUGCAGGCGUCUCUAUCACCUCGUAUAGACGUAUAAUGUGAGGAUGCAUGAACAAUCUCAAUAUCUUGAUCUCCCGCCUCACUUUUUCUUCCAUUUCCAUACUCUUUAUUUUUCGACGGUUGAGAAUCUUGAUGGCAACUUUGUGCCCCGUCAGUGCAUGCUCUGCGAUUUUCACCUUGCCAAAGGAACCGAUGCCUAAUGUCUUCCCUAGUUUGUAAUUUUGCAAAAACACAUCAGCACUGUUGCCUCCUUUGCCAGGCCCCUCCAUUUCCACUGGACGGCGGCGGCGAUGGGCGGCGGCGGAGGAGGGGGGAGGGUGGG
rnacentral:misc_RNA from 1 species